GUGAGGAAUUUUCCGCAAUGGGCGAAAGCCUGACGGAGCAAUGCCGCGUGAAGGAUGAAGGCCUAUGGGUUGUAAACUUCUUUUCUCAGAAAAGAAUUAUGACGGUAUCUGAGGAAUAAGCAUCGGCUAACUCUGUGCCAGCAGCCGCGGUAAGACAGAGGAUGCAAGCGUUAUCCGGAAUGAUUGGGCGUAAAGCGUCUGUAGGUUGUUUAAAAAGUAUUCUGUCAAAGAUUAGGGCUUAACCCUAGAUAGGCAGAAUAAACUUUUAAGCUAGAGUUUGGUAGAGGCAGAGGGAAUUCCCGGUGGAGCGGUGAAAUGCGUAGAUAUCGGGAGGAACACCAAAGGCGAAGGCACUCUGCUGGGCCAAUACUAACACUGAGAGACGAAAGAGAGGGGAGCAAAUGGGAUUAGAAACCCUAGUAGUCC
rnacentral:rRNA from 1 species